rnacentral:lncRNA from 1 species
AUAUGCUAUCAAAUAUAUACACUACAUAUAUUAAUAUCUAUAACCCAAAUUUCGAAUCAGGUUACUUUGCAUACUUUAUAUAUUAUUAUUACGACAAUGACCUUGAAGAAUAUAUACUCACUGUAAAAAUCGUUAUAUGUACAAGUAGAACCAAAAAUAUAAAAUGUGAAAUGUUAAACCCUCUUCCACUCUAUAGAGGGAUAUAUCCAAAUGUGUGUGAUUAUCUUAAAAAAAUGCACAUCCCCAUACAAAAUGUUAAAUUUUCAUCUGACUGUACUUUCAAUAUAUAUUCUCGGGGAACACGAAUUUUACAUGAAGAUAAAUAUAAUUUGUAUAGGUCAGGACAUUUUCAAUAUUUUUAUACUUAUUUCAACAAAUUACCGGUAUCACCUAUUUUAAACAAUUUCUGUGAUGCAAUAGAAAUAAAUGCGAAUGAAUGUUUAGAUAUGUUAUUCCAUAUAAAUCAGGACUUAAAAAAAAAUCAUGAAGAAGCUAAAGAUUUUUUAAAAACAUGUAUGGGAUCUUAUUAUAAGGAAGCAGGACAACCAUAUAAAACUGAUUUUGGAAACAUAAAACAAAAAAGAGAAAUUGGCGCAAAAAAUAAAGCGACAAAUCGUAGAGAUUUACUAAUACAAGUUGAAAAAAGUGUAGAUGAUCGUGAUCAAACACUUUGUACCAAAACUUACGAAAUAUUAGCAUCCUUUGAUUUAGAUAAUUCUAUUAAAUUGGAAUCCAAUUCUAAACAAAGUAUCGACAAUUCAGAUGUUAUUCCUACAGGUCCCACCAUAUUAAUACCGAGUCAUCAAAGAAAUGACAUUAAAUCGGAAUCCAGUAAUGUAAAAGAUAACGCUAAACUAGAACCCAUCCCUAAAGAAAAUAGCACUGAAUCAGAAUCUAGUCUUUAAGAAAAUACCACUAUAUCAGCACCCAGCCCUCAAGAAAUUGCCACUAAGUAAGCACCCAACCUUCAAGGAAAUGAUACUAAAUCAGCAUGCAGACUUCAAAGAAAUGACACUGAAUUAGAAUCCAAUGCUACAAUUUCUAAUUUAGUUUAUGGUGUAAUUUUAUUAAUAUUUACAAUUUAUAUGUUUUAAUAAUUAUAUUUAAGUUAUAAUUUUUAAUAUACGAUAAUUGUUUGUUUCACUUGUGCAUACAUAUAUACAUUUUUAUUUAGCUUAAAAAAAAAAAAUGAUAAUACAAACUAUAUUAAAUUCAUUACUAAAAUUAAUAUCACUAUUUAUUAUUUUUAUUUAUUCUAUUUUUUUUUUUUUUUUGCUUUUUGCUUUUUUUUUU